ACUCAGGCACGAUCCACGCCUUAUGUAUUCAUGCGCGCGGAACCGACCUGAUGUUCUAUCCUGAGGGA
rfam:Corynebacterium marinum DSM 44953, complete genome.